GCCCCUCUAUCCCCAA
rnacentral:tRNA from 1 species